rnacentral:rRNA from 1 species
UACGUAGGGUGCAAGCGUUAAUCGGAAUUACUGGGCGUAAAGCGUGCGCAGGCGGUCUUGCAAGACAGAUGUGAAAUCCCCGGGCUCAACCUGGGAACUGCAUUUGUGACUGCAAGGCUGGAGUACGGUAGAGGGGGAUGGAAUUCCGCGUGUAGCAGUGAAAUGCGUAGAUAUGCGGAGGAGCACCGAUGGCGAAGGCAAUCCCCUGGACCUGUACUGACGCUCAUGCACGAAAGCGUGGGGAGCAAACAGG